GGGGNNNCCUGAUGCAGCCAUGCCGCGUGUAUGAAGAAGGCCUUCGGGUUGUAAAGUACUUUCAGUUGUGAGGAAGGCAGUUAAGUUAAUAGCUUAGCUGUUUGACGUUAGCAACAGAAGAAGCACCGGCUAACUCCGUGCCAGCAGCCGCGGUAA
rnacentral:rRNA from 1 species